AUAAAAGCGAUAAUGGGGAUGAGUAAAUCGGCGUACCCUCACAGAGAGCGGGAGUAGGUGUAAACCCGUAGGGAAGGACGGUUGAACAUGGCCCCGGAGCUGCCGGUUCGAAAGAUCAUCAGGAUCCAUUAGGGCCGGCCGGUGUAGCACCGUUACCGCUGUCAGUGUUUUUACACACUUACUGAGGCUGCUGCCGUGAGGUUACAGCAAAUCAGGGUGGUACCGCGGGUUAUUAACCUCGUCCCUGCC
rnacentral:ncRNA from 1 species